rnacentral:rRNA from 1 species
GCGUCGUCAGCUCGUGUCGUGAGAUGUUGGGUUAAGUCCCGUAACGAGCGCAACCCUUGUCCUUAGUUACCAGCACGUUAUGGUGGGCACUCUAAGGAGACUGCCGGUGACAAACCGGAGGAAGGUGGGGAUGACGUCAAGUCAUCAUGGCCCUUACGGCCUGGGCUACACACGUGCUACAAUGGUCGGUACAAAGGGUUGCCAAGCCGCGAGGUGGAGCUAAUCCCAUAAAACCGAUCGUAGUCCGGAUCGCAGUCUGCAACUCGACUGCGUGAAGUCGGAAUCGCUAGUAAUCGUGAAUCAGAAUGUCACGGUGAAUACGUUCCCGGGCCUU